ACGCAGCCUCUGACUUGGCCUGUGGUUGCGUCUUUAUACAGAGUGAAGGUCUGCUGCGGCCACAUGCACAUCUGGAUAUUGCUGGGAAGAAAAGAAGGAUGUUAGUCUGUGAUACCUUCUUAUCCUUGCUGCCGAGUAUCCUGCCCUUAAGGUGUAUGUUGUGUGUGAUGUCUUUAAGCUACUGGGACCUUGGAUUUCCCCUUGGGGAUCAAUAAAGUAUACCUACAGGUAUCAUACACUUUAAAUGUUUGUUUUUUUAGACAUUUAAGAUAAUCUUUAAGCAAAUUUAUGACAAAAGAUAAGUAGUAGUAGUAGACAUAUGGUUGUUUAAAGUAAUUUAGGUGUAUCUACAUUUUGCCAACAGGAAGUGUAAGUAUAAAGACAGUGUUGCGUUCAGCAGUAGGUUUAAAGAUUUGUACCACCACAAAAAGAAAUUAUAAGAUGGCUAAAUGUAAUUAGAUCAAAUGUUUGUGGCAAUUAAGAACUCAAAUGAAAAUGUACGACUAUUCAAUGCCUUUUAAGGCCUAAUAUUUAUAGAAUAGAAUUGAAGAGGUUUUUAAGGCCCUGCAGAAACAGUGUGUACUGUUAACUGACAUAACUACUGCUUUAUAGAUAGAUAAUGUUUAGUGCAAUUCCCCCGUUCGCAGACUGUUACGUCAAAAAUUGAACAUAUCUUUUCUUUUGAAGUUACCCUGAAAAGCGAAGCUUCUCAACCACAUUUAAAACUAGGAUUUUUCUGCAACUUGGACGUGAUAAUUGAACACCUGCACUGGACGACUGGUGCCUUGCUAAAGAGCAUCUUGAUGGUGUGGUGAGAGGGAAGGAUCUUUGCAGCCAGUGUGGUAAGUCAAACCAGUGACCCUCCCUUCCUUAUUCAUUUUAGAAACUAUUUUUCCAUCUAAAGAUCUGGCCUAAAAACACAUGUUGCUGGAGUAUCCUCCGACACGACCCUGACCUCUGUGUCAGGAGACAGAGGUUUCUCACCUUGAGCAGUCGAGCAUGGUAAACGUUAUCGUCCUCGUUCUCUGCUCUCUGAGUGUCCACCUGGUAUCUCUCGCAGGCCCGAAUCAGCU